GACGAACGCUGGCGGCGCGCUUAACACAUGCAAGUCGAGCGAAGCGGCGGACGGGUGAGUAACACGUGAGUAACCUGCCUUAGACAUUGGGCUAGCCUCGGGAAACCGGGAUUAAGACCAAAUGGUCUAAGAUGGACUCGCGUCCCAUUAGCUAGUUGGUGGGUAACGGCCCACAAAGGCGACGAUGGGUAGCCGGCCGGAGAGGGUGAACGGCCACAUGGGAAAUGAGAAACGGUCCAAACUCUACGGGGGGCAGCAGUGGGGAAUAUUGCACAAUGGAGGAAACUCUGAGGCAGCGACGCCGCGUGAACGAAGAAGGCUUUCGCGUCGUAAAGUUCUGUUAUAUGGGAAGCGGUACCAUAAGAAAAAGCCCCGGCUAACUACGUGCCAGCAGCCGCGGUAAUAC
rnacentral:rRNA from 1 species